rnacentral:rRNA from 1 species
AUAUGUGUUUUUAGAGUUGUGGAUACACCCAUACCCAUUCCGAACAUGGCCGUUAAGCACUUCAUCGCUGAUAAUACUGCAUCUUUCAGGUGUGGAAAUGUAGGACAGUGCAUAUU